GAUGAACGCUAGCGGCAGGCCUAAUACAUGCAAGUCGAACGAGAUUGAGGAGCUUGCUCCUCAUGAAAGUGGCGCACGGGUGCGUAACGCGUAUGCAAUCUACCUUAAUCAGGGGGAUAGCCCGGAGAAAUCCGGAUUAAUACCGCAUAACGUUAUUUUAUGGCAUCAUAGAAUAACCAAACAUUUAUGGGAUUAAGAUGAGCAUGCGUGACAUUAGUUAGUUGGUGAGGUAACGGCUCACCAAGACUACGAUGUCUAGGGGAUCUGAGAGGAUGACCCCCCACACCGGUACUGAGACACGGACCAGACUCCUACGGGAGGCAGCAGUAAGGAAUAUUGGUCAAUGGGCGCAAGCCUGAACCAGCCAUGCCGCGUGCAGGAAGACGGCCCUAUGGGUUGUAAACUGCUUUUAUCGGGAAUAAACCUCUUUACGUGUAAGGAGCUGAAUGUACCGAAGGAAUAAGGAUCGGCUAACUCCGUGCCAGCAGCCG
rnacentral:rRNA from 1 species